CCAUGCAUGUCUAAGUAUAAGCAACUAUACGGUGAAACUGCGAAUGGCUCAUUAAAUCAGUUAUCGUUUAUUUGAUAGUACCUUACUACAUGGAUAACCGUGGUAAUUCUAGAGCUAAUACAUGCUAAAAACCUCGACUUCGGAAGGGGUGUAUUUAUUAGAUAAAAAACCAAUGCCCUUCGGGGCUCCUUGGUGAAUCAUAAUAACUUAACGAAUCGCAUGGCCUUGCGCCGGCGAUGGUUCAUUCAAAUUUCUGCCCUAUCAACUUUCGAUGGUAGGAUAGUGGCCUACCAUGGUAUCAACGGGUAACGGGGAAUUAGGGUUCGACUCCGGAGAGGGAGCCUGAGAAACGGCUACCACAUCCAAGGAAGGCAGCAGGCGCGCAAAUUACCCAAUGCCGACACGGGGAGGUAGNGNCAAUAAACACCCUUAUAGGGUCUGGGGUUCUUGUAAUUGGAANGAGNACNN
rnacentral:rRNA from 1 species